rnacentral:rRNA from 1 species
AGGGCACCACCAGGAGUGGAGCCUGCGGCUUAAUUUGACUCAACACGGGGAAACUCACCCGGCCCGGACACCGUAAGGAUUGACAGAUUGAUAGCUUUUUCAUGAUUCGGGGGAUGGUGGUGCAUGGCCGUUCUUAGUUCGUGGAGCGAUUUGUCUGGUUUAUUCCGAUAACGAGCGAGACUCUAGCCUACUAAAUAGUUCGCACAUUGUCUCUGUGUGUGUGACUUCUUAGAGGGAUUUUCGGUGUUCAGCCGCAAGAAAUUGAGCAAUAACAGGUCUGUGAUGCCCUUAGAUGUCCGGGGCUGCACGCGCGCUACACUGGCAAAAUCAGCGUGCUUGUCCUUCCCCGAAAGGGGUUGGUAAACCCUUGAAAAUUUGCCGUGAUUGGUAUUGGAAAUUGCUAUUAUUUUCCAUGAACGAGGAAUUCCAAGUAAGUGCGAGUCAUCAGCUCGCGCUGAUUACGUCCCUGCCCUUUGUACACACCGCCCGUCGCUGCCCGGGACUGAGCCAUUUCGAGAA